rnacentral:rRNA from 1 species
CCUACGGGGGGCAGCAGUGGGGGAUAUUGGGCAAUGGGCGCAAGCCUGACCCAGCAACGCCGCGUGAAGGAAGAAGGCUUUCGGGUUGUAAACUUCUUUUCUCAGGGACGAAGCAAGUGACGGUACCUGAAGAAUAAGCCACGGCUAACUACGUGCCAGCAGCCGCGGUAAUACGUAGGUGGCAAGCGUUAUCCGGAUUUACUGGGUGUAGAGGGCGUGUAGGCGGGACUGCAAGUCAGAUGUGAAAACCAUGGGCUCAACCUAUGGCCUGCAUUUGAAACUGUAGUUCUUGAGUACUGGAGAGGCAGACGGAAUUCCGAGUGUAGCGGUGAAAUGCGUAGAUAUUAGGAGGAACACCAGUGGCGAAGGCGGUCUGCUGGACAGCAACUGACGUUGAAGCACGAAGGCGUGGGUAUCGAACAGGAUUAGAUACCCGUGUAGUC